rnacentral:piRNA from 1 species
UUCCUGGUCAGGCUCUCCUGGACCCAGC